rnacentral:misc_RNA from 1 species
UCCGGCUUAAAACCGGCAGUCCUUCUCGAGUGCCCAGCCAAACCUGAUGGCAACAAAAAGAAAGGGUUGCGCUCGUUGCGGGACUUAACCCAACAUCUCACGACACGAGCUGACGACAGCCAUGCAGCACCUGUGCAAUCCCGGCCGAACCGAAAAGUAUAUCUCUAUACCCCUUAAAUUGCAUGUCAAGAGCGGGUAAGGUUCUGCGCGUUGCUUCGAAUUAAACCACAUACUCCACCGCUUGUGCGGGUCCCCGUCAAUUCCUUUGAGUUUUAAUCUUGCGACCGUACUCCCCAGGCGGGAUGUUUAUCGCGUUAGCUUCGACACUGAUCCCGAAAGACCAACAUCUAACAUCCAUCGUUUAGGGCGUGGACUAC